UACGUAGGGGGCAAGCGUUGUCCGGAUUUACUGGGCGUAAAGAGCGUGUAGGCGGCCACGCAGGUCCGUUGUGAAAACUGGAGGCUCAACCUCCAGCUGUCGACGGAAACCGUGUGGCUAGAGUCCGGAAGAUGGAGAGUGGAAUUCCUGGUGUAGCGGUGAAAUGCGUAGAUAUCUGGAGGAACACCGGUGGCGAAGGCGGCAUCCUGGACCGACAUUGACGCUGAGGCGCGAAAGCCAGGGGAGCAAAGCGGG
rnacentral:rRNA from 1 species